GGUAGAAUACAGCUCAAAUGGUAAAGCACAUGCUUAGCAUGCAUGAGGUCCUGGGUUCAAUCCCCAGUACCUCCA
rnacentral:tRNA from 1 species